UCGCCUGUUUUAUCAAAAACAUCGCCUCCUGCAACCAAAAUAAGUAUAGGAGGUCCAGCCUGCCCAGUGACUACGGGUUCAACGGCCGCGGUAUUUUGACCGUGCAAAGGUAGCGCAAUCACUUGUCUUUUAAAUAAAGACCUGUAUGAAUGGCUAAACGAGGGCUUAACUGUCUCCCCUUUCAAGUCAGUGAAAUUGAUCUAUCCGUGCAGAAGCGGGUAUAAAUAUACAAGACGAGAAGACCCUUUGGAGCUUAAGGUACAAAAUUCAACCACGUCAAACAACUCAAUAAAAAGCAAAAACUUAGUGGUAAAUGUAAUUUUACCUUCGGUUGGGGCGACCACGGAGAAAAAAUAAUCCUCCGAGUGGAACGGGUUAAAUACCUAAAACCAAGAGUAACAUCUCUAAGCCACAGAACAUCUGACCAAAUAUGAUCCGGCAACAAAGCCGAUCAACGGACCAAGUUACCCUAGGGAUAACAGCGCAAUCCUCUCCCAGAGUCCAUAUCGACGAGAGGGUUUACGACCUCGAUGUUGGAUCAGGACAUCCUAAUGGUGCAGCCGCUAUUAAGGGUUCGUUUGUUCAACGAUUAAAGUCCUACGUGAUCUGAGUUCAGACCGGA
rnacentral:rRNA from 1 species